rnacentral:rRNA from 1 species
GACGAACGCUGGCGGCGUGCUUAACACAUGCAAGUCGAACGGAAAGGCCCUGCUUUUGUGGGGUGCUCGAGUGGCGAACGGGUGAGUAACACGUGAGUAACCUGCCCUUGACUUUGGGAUAACUUCAGGAAACUGGGGCUAAUACCGGAUAGGAGCUCCUGCUGCAGGGUGGGGGUUGGAAAGUUUCGGCGGUUGGGGAUGGACUCGCGGCUUAUCAGCUUGUUGGUGGGGUAGUGGCUUACCAAGGCUUUGACGGGUAGCCGGCCUGAGAGGGUGACCGGCCACAUUGGGACUGAGAUACGGCCCAGACUCCUACGGGAGGCAGCAGUGGGGAAUAUUGCACAAUGGGCGGAAGCCUGAUGCAGAAACGCCGCGUGCGGGAUGACGGCCUUCGGGUUGUAAACCGCUUUCGCCUGUGACGAAGCGUGAGUGACGGUAAUGGGUAAAGAAGCACCGGCUAACUACGUG